rnacentral:rRNA from 1 species
AUUGAACGCUAGCGGGAUGCUUUACACAUGCAAGUCGAACGGCAGCACGAGAGAGCUUGCUCUCUUGGUGGCGAGUGGCGGACGGGUGAGUAAUAUAUCGGAACGUGCCCAGUAGCGGGGGAUAACUACUCGAAAGAGUGGCUAAUACCGCAUACGCCCUACGGGGGAAAGGGGGGGCUUCUUCGGAACCUCUCACUAUUGGAGCGGCCGAUAUCGGAUUAGCUAGUUGGUGGGGUAAAGGCUCACCAAGGCAACGAUCCGUAGCUGGUUUGAGAGGACGACCAGCCACACUGGGACUGAGACACGGCCCAGACUCCUACGGGAGGCAGCAGUGGGGAAUUUUGGACAAUGGGGGAAACCCUGAUCCAGCCAUCCCGCGUGUAUGAUGAAGGCCUUCGGGUUGUAAAGUACUUUUGGCAGAGAAGAAAAGGUACCUCCUAAUACGAGGUACUGCUGACGGUAUCUGCAGAAUAAGCACCGGCUAACUACGUGCCAGCCGCCGCCGUAACAC